CCAUUGUUGUUAGAAUGGCACUCUAUAGAAUUAGCCAAAAAAAAAACCUAAAAAGUAAUAGCCUGUAAAUAAUAACAAAACCACAUCUUUUCAAAUGUGAUAAAACAUUUCUGGGACAACUGAGUCAUCAUGGCCACUUAACAUUCUGCAAUCAAUACUUUGACAAUGCCAAAUCAAGUGCAACUGCUAGCACUGUCAUGAUAUGUGCAUGAACUAAACAAAGAAAUUGUGAUAAAUACACAUCAUCUAUUUCUAUUGUUUGUGAAAAUAAAAAGUAUACUAUUUUCUUAACCAACAUAACAAAAG